CUACGGGCGGCUGCAGUGGGGAAUAUUGCACAAUGGGCGCAAGCCUGAUGCAGCCAUGCCGCGUGUAUGAAGAAGGCCUUCGGGUUGUAAAGUACCUUCAGCGGGGAGGAAGGGAGUAAAGUUAAUACCUUUGCUCAUUGACGUUACCCGCAGAAGAAGCACCGGCUAACUCCGUGCCAGCAGCCGCGGUAAUACGGAGGGUGCAAGCGUUAAUCGGAAUUACUGGGCGUAAAGCGCACGCAGGCGGUUUGUUAAGUCAGAUGUGAAAUCCCCGGGCUCAACCUGGGAACUGCAUCUGAUACUGGCAAGCUUGAGUCUCGUAGAGGGGGGUAGAAUUCCAGGUGUAGCGGUGAAAUGCGUAGAGAUCUGGAGGAAUACCGGUGGCAAAGGCGGCCCCCUGGACGAAGACUGACGCUCAGGUGCGAAAGCGUGGGGAGCAAACAGGAUUAGAUACCCGUGUAGUC
rnacentral:rRNA from 1 species